AGCGGAACGAAANCANCAACACCUAAAAUGUGGAAUAUAGCAUAUAGUCGACAAGAGAAAUCUACCAAAAACAAACAAAACUUUCAACAACGGAUCUCUUGGUUCUCGCAUCGAUGAAGAGCGCAGCGAAAUGCGAUACCUAGUGUGAAUUGCAGCCAUCGUGAAUCAUCGAGUUCUUGAACGCACAUUGCGCCCCUCGGCAUUCCGGGGGGCAUGCCUGUUUGAGCGUCGUUUCCAUCUUGCGCGUGCGCAGAGUUGGGGGAGCGGAGCGGACGACGUGUAAAGAGCGUCGGAGCUGCGACUCGCCUGAAAGGGAGCGAAGCUGGCCGAGCGAACUAGACUUUUUUUCAGGGACGCUUGGCGGCCGAGAGCGAGUGUUGCGAGACAACAAAAAGCUCGACCUCAAAUCAGGUAGGAAUACCCGCUGAACUUAAGCAUAUCAAUAAGCGGAGGAA
rnacentral:rRNA from 2 species